GGAGGCGUGGCCGAGUGGUCGAAGGCGCUCCCCUGCUAAGGGAGUAGGCGGGAAACUGUCUCGUGGGUUCGAAUCCCACCGCCUCCGCCA
rnacentral:tRNA from 1 species